AUAGCAUAUCAAUAAGCGGAGGAAAAGAAACCAACCGGGAUUGCCCUAGUAACGGCGAGUGAAGCGGCAAGAGCUCAAAUUUGAAAGCUGGCCCCCUCGGGGUCCGCAUUGUAAUUUGCAGAGGAUGCUUCGGGAGCGGUCCCCAUCUAAGUGCCCUGGAACGGGCCGUCAUAGAGGGUGAGAAUCCCGUAUGGGAUGGGGUGCCCGCGCCCGUGUGAAGCUCCUUCGACGAGUCGAGUUGUUUGGGAAUGCAGCUCUAAUUGGGUGGUAAAUUUCAUCUAAAGCUAAAUAUUGGCCGGAGACCGAUAGCGCACAAGUAGAGUGAUCGAAAGAUGAAAAGCACUUUGAAAAGAGAGUUAAACAGCACGUGAAAUUGUUGAAAGGGAAGCGCUUGCGAUCAGACUCGCCCACGGGGUUCAGCCGGCAUUCGUGCCGGUGUACUUCCCCGCGGGCGGGCCAGCGUCGGUUUGGGCGGUCGGUCAAAGGCCCCUGGAAUGUAACGCCUCUCGGGGCGUCUUAUAGCCAGGGGUGCCAUGCGACCUGCCCGGACCGAGGAACGCGCUUCGGCUCGGACGCUGGCAUAAUGGUCGUAAGCGACCCGUCUUGAAACACGGACCAAGGAGUCUAACAUCUACGCGAGUGUUCGGGUGUCAAACCCGUGCGCGCAGUGAAAGCGAACGGAGGUGGGAACCCUCACGGGUGCACCAUCGACCGAUCCUGAUGUCUUCGGAUGGAUUUGAGUAAGAGCGUAGCUGUUGGGACCCGAAAGAUGGUGAACUAUGCCUGAAUAGGGCGAAGCCAGAGGAAACUCUGGUGGAGGCUCGCAGCGGUUCUGACGUGCAAAUCGAUCGUCAAAUUUGGGUAUAGGGGCGAAAGACUAAUCGAACCAUCUAGUAGCUGGUUCCUGCCGA
rnacentral:rRNA from 1 species